rnacentral:rRNA from 2 species
UACGGAGGAUCCAAGCGUUAUCCGGAUUUAUUGGGUUUAAAGGGUGCGUAGGUGGAUUGAUAAGUCAGCGGUGAAAGUUUGCAGCUUAACUGUAAAAUUGCCGUUGAAACUGUCAGUCUUGAGUGCAAAUGAGGUAGGCGGAAUGUGUUGUGUAGCGGUGAAAUGCUUAGAUAUAACACAGAACUCCGAUUGCGAAGGCAGCUUACUGGGAUGCAACUGACACUGAGGCACGAAAGCGUGGGGAUCAAACAGG